UUUUUUUUUUUUUUUUUUGGUGGUUUUUUUUUAUUAUUCAGUGAUUUAUAGGUAUAGAAAAUUAAAAUUACAAACUGCAUCGUUAAACAAUGGCAUCUCACAACAUCGUGGAAGAUAAAUAACUCAAAGAUGCAUUUUUUUUUUUCAUUACAAGUUCAGCAACUUUUAUUUUCAAACUUCUAAAACGUAGGUUUUUUUAGUUUUAAAAGAAGAAAAAAUCCCAGAUUUUCAGUAUGAUCUCAGACAUUUAGACUCCACUAUUGAUUUGUUUUUUUUUCCUGUUUAAAUUCUUUUUACGCACUACUCACUUCCAUUUUGUCCAUAUUCACACGCAUGCAAAUCCUCCUAAUCAAAAUGCUUCUCAGGUCUUCAUUGGUGCCAGCCUUUCCAAAGCCACGGCAGGAAAUAUACAACGUCCUCUCAGAUAUUCCAAUAACACAGCCAUCCAGGAUUCCAGGGUUUGUCCUUACAAGCCAGAUUUGUCUUAAUGGAUGUCGUAGAUCUGCUUAAUAGAAGUUCUGUGCAGCCAGUGCAACAAAAUAACCUGAGGUUUUAGUCCAAAAAGUGUGGAAGCAGCUUGUAUGACAAUCUGACCAUCAACCACGAGAGGGGUGACGGACGCUCAUGGAGCAUGGGGUAGACAAUCUAGCGGGGCGUAAUGUUAUAAUCAAUACAAAAAAAUGUUAGUUAAUGUAGAUUUUCUGGAUUUUGCUGUUUGUUUUCCUUUUGUUAUAUCAAUCAAAAGUAGGACAUAAUAUUAUUGAAGCGAGCGUAUCGGUGUUGCAGAACGUUCGCACGUUUGAAUGAAGUCGAUAUGUCUAACCGUUCCUGGUGUCCUUGGAUACCUGAUGGUUUUGCCUCCAGCUUUUAGCGUAAUACCAGUGAACAUGGAAAUACCUUCAGAAAACAAUGCCGUGUUUUUUUUUUUGUUUGUUUUUGUUUUUUGAUCCGUUUCUGUGCCGAGUUUCUGCACGUUCUUGGUUAGAGGCAAUGAAAGUCAAGAGAAACAAAAAUGUGACCCAAGGACAUGGUUGGACAUGGUUGUACCUGGCUGUACUCAUAAAUUUUUUUAAACCGCUUUCUGAACUAGCUGCUGCUUUCCCUUAAAUUGUAGACGGGGUUUAUUAAAAGCUGCAUGGACUGUUCACAGGCUCUGUAAAGUCCUGUGUAUAUGCAUUUAAGAGGCAGGGACUGCUGAUUGUGUUCAGCUCAAUGUUGAGAUAUAGACGAACGUGCACUGAGCAUGCUCCGAACGAAACAGCAGCUCCGACAGUGCCUCUGCAUGUACGUGUAAAUACAAUCUAUAGAUCUCUAUUACAGAUACAGAUGUCUUUACCAUGUUUAAACAUUCUUGAAAAUAUUGUCCUUUUCGUUUAUCUCGAUUUCUUUACUGACUGGGAGGAAGUGUGAAGCACCUCGAAUUAUAUUUUACCGCUUGCACCCAGAGCCGAUUUUGACACAAGAAGAAAAUACUUGACUAUGCUGCUAAUCUCUAAUACCGUCCUAAACUAUCUGAUCUAGGGAGUAGUCUUUAGUUUUGAAGUUCAGUUUAAAUGUUUGGGGGAGGGGGGGGGGGUUGUAAUAGGCUACAGAGGUGAAUUUUCACACAUUAAAUUUUUGUAUUAGGCAUGUGCUGAUAUAAAAUUUUUACAUCAUGGUAAUUGAAACUCAUCACGGUUUACGAUAUUAUCAGUGUUUGUAUUGAAAUGACCACAGUUAGUAAGGACACCGUCGUCAACAAAAAGUUCCCAUACAGCAGGGUUGUCUUAAAAACCUGAAACUGUUUUGGACAUUGAGGGUGACACCCUUUUCUUCUUUUUUCUAGGUCUUUGCAUGAGCACCCUAGUGUGCACAUAUUUCUGAUUUGCAACAUAUCUAUAAUGUACAUUUAUAUGUACACUGCAUGCCUGUCCUUUUUACCGUAGCCUACGUUUGCAGAAGUUGAUUCGACUUAAUUCCGAUUUUAGUACGUUACUGUUACAUUUUCUAGACACUCGAAGCGCUUUACAUAGUAUGAGGGCGGAGGAAAUCUCCUCAACCACCACUAGUGUGUAGCAUCCACCUGGAUGAUGCGACGGCAGCCAUAGUGCGCCAGAACCACCACCACCACCACACGCCAGCUGUUAUAUGCUUUAAAUCGAGAUCUUGGUGGCCCCGACAGCUUUUAAACCUCAUAAAAUCCACCAUCCGCAACCUCAUUCCAAAGCUUGCCCGGUUUGGCGUAAUUAAUGUGACGCUGGCAACCCUGCUGUAUGUACGUUUUAGUUCACCAAGCCACAAGAACAUUUAUCGUACCCUUGCAAGUACACCAGUGGUCAUUAAGGUCAAAUGAUGAGCCCUCAAGGUGUACAGUUUUGUCUUCCCUUAAAGGGUUAAAGGUACAGUCGGUGAUUUUUGAAGCGAACUGUUUUUGAAAACUAAAUUCAAACUAAUUAGAUUUUAAUGUGUAAACUUGUCAAAACAAUUUGCGGUCCCGCUUGUAGUGUUCUUCCUAAAAUCACAAUCUAAAACCAAACAUUCGAGCUUCUGAAUGCACUACGAUUGUAAACUAUGGGGAAAGGAAACAACUGACAUGGAGCUAGGGGGAGAAUCUACUCGGCACUUAUUUUUUUUUAACCACGUGGUCUGAUCUCAAAAUCACUGCCUGCACCUUUGUGUUUUCUCGUCAUCUUUUCAGAACCGUUUUAGGGGCAUGAUCUUGUAGGUAAGAGAUUGUUAAAUGGCUCGAGUCAUGUCUAUUAAAAGAGAAGGGACUAUUUUCUUAACCUACUGUCCAAAAUAAGAAACCAUAGAGGACACCUUCCCUUCUACUGCCUUCUAAAUCGCAGACUUUGUCAUAAAUGCUGCCUAGCUGUGUUGCUACAUAGAAUUGUAUUUUAAUGUGUUCAUAGCAAUAUUGUGCUGUCUUUUUUUUUUAAAUUAUUAUUUAUUUAAUAUACCAGUGGUUAUGUAUUAUAGUUCUAGUGUGAAGCCUAAUGAAUAACAUUAACAGCGGUUUAAAUAAAACAAGGACGAGCGAUGUUUAUGAUACAGAACGUUGCUGGUUUGAGUUCUCUGCAUGGAUACAGUGAUUGAUUUUAAAAAGAAUUUUGCACUCCAACACAUCCUUCGCACGAUAUUAAUAAAUCCCCGACGUUAAUAGAUUAACGGUGCGUGGUAGUUUUGCCGCAGCAAACCGGACGAGCGAACACCUGGCCCGUUUUCUGGUCAAGUUCUUGCUGAAAU
ensembl:lncRNA